UUUUCUUCUUCUUUCUUCUUCUUCUCUGUUUCUUCUCUUUUUCUACGUCGAUCUCAGUUCAGAAGAACUGAGUUAUUUUGUGUGAGAUUUUCAUGGAAAGUUAGGUAGUGUAAUGAAUCGAAGAAGAUGAAGUUAUAACUGAAGUUGAUUGAACUCGAGAGAAGAAGAAGCUGAUGCUGUUGUAGUUGAAAUUAGGGUUUUGGGUUUGUUUCGAGUUCUUAGGUGAAUCGAGGGGUCAAAUGGACUGUUUACAAAUGAAGAUUAUGAGGGUUGGUGUUUAAUUAAAGUUUGAAGUUGUUCCGACGAAGAUUCAAAAGAAAGUUAAUCUUUAUUAACAACGAUCGAUCUAAAGAACGAACCAUUGGAUUAUGGAUCUCAAGGUAUGCGAGGCUUGUCGUCAAAAGGGAGACAGAUCAAGUUGUGCACGUGGCGAUGAAAGAUUUGAGGAGUUGGUUUCGUUAGUCGGUUAGCUUCCGCUAUGUUUAUUUUGUUGUAUAAUUUAUUUGUAAAUCAACUCACCAUUAAAUAUGUAUCACUUGAGAGGAGUUCUUGUAUUUAUUUCAGAGAUGGUUUAGAUUCAGGUUAAUCUUUGUUUAAAACUUCUUUUUUAGUGUUUUAAAUAGAUGUUUUAGAUUGU